rnacentral:lncRNA from 1 species
GGCGGUGGGCACGCUGCCGCUGGGGGGCUACGUGGCGCCUGGCUACCCCCUGCAGCUGCAGCCCUGCACAGCUUACGUGCCGGUCUACCCGGUGGGCACGGUGAGUGCAGGGUGACAGGCCUGGGAGCCUUGCAACUGGGGACCCCGUGGGGACGGGGGUACCUGGAGGCCGUGUCCCAGGGACAAGCCCUGGAGGGAGGAGCUGACAGCGCAGACCCUAGAAGGCCUGGGAAUGUAGGUGGUGGGGAAGCUGGGGGCCAUGAUGGUCGGAGGUCAGCACCUGGCGGAGACAGAGACUAUAGGACAAGUGGAGAAGGAGGCGGAGGGGAGGAGAUGGACCGUGGGGCCGAGGGGCGCGCGGGAGCAGAAUUCUGGGACUGGAAGGGGAGGAACAAGGUCCGAGGUGGGGCCAGGACGGCGCGGUUGGCCACACCUGUGGACACCUCCACGACUGUGGGGUCUCAGGAGGAGAGGGGCCCCGGCGGAACUUGAACUUGCUGGCGCUCCGGAAGAGUGCUGGCCCUACGCAGGAGGAACCCCGGGGGGCACUGGAGUGGCCUCCACUCUGCCCCCGCCGCCCCAGGGCCCGGGUCUGGCCCUGCUGGAGCCGAGG